UUCCUUCCAAAAGCACUUGCUCUGUCUGCUCAGUGGCUGGGUGAGUUGUCGUAGAAGGAGACAGUAAGUCAUCACUGUGGGUGAGACGGCAGCGUCACUGUGGCUGACCGAUCUCAAUCAGGGAUGAGACAAGC
ensembl:snoRNA